rnacentral:misc_RNA from 1 species
AACAAGGCGUACCUGCGGACCUGCGGAAGGAUCAUUAACGAGUGUAUCCUACCCUUUUAAAAAAUGGGUGGUACCUCCCGUCCUUUGCGGGCCCCCUUCUUUUAUUAAGGGGGGGGCUUUUAAGACUUUCUGCUUCGGCGGGGUUAUUCCCGCCGGAACACCUUCAAAAAACUCUUGAUCAAAAAACUGUUCAGUCCGAGAAUUUUUGAAAAUUAAAACAAAACUUUCAACAACGGAUCU